CAUUAAUUAUGCGGUUUAAUUUGUUAAGCGGUGUAAAGAAGAAGAAGAAGAAGAAAAAAAAAUGAAAUUAGAUAUACAAACGCACUGUCGCGCCUGUACCAUACACCGAUAACACUUAAGUAGUUGUUACAUAUACACACAUACACACACAUCACACACACACACACACACAUAAUACGUAUUACACAAUACGCAAUGCAUACAACACGCGCGAGAAAAAAAGAAAAGAAAAGAGAAGAGAAGAGAAGAGAAAAGAAGAGAAGAGAAGAUCGAUGAAAAACGAACGAGACGCGGGCGUCGUAGGUUGUCGUAUCGUUCUCUCGCGUUUCGUCUCUCUCUCUCUCUCUUUCUCUUUCUCUC